GACGAACGCUGGCGGCGCGCUUAACACAUGCAAGUCGAGCGAUGAAACUUUAACAGAACCCUUCGGUGCGGAGAUAAAGUGGAUUAGCGGCGGACGGGUGAGUAACACGUGAGUAACCUGCCUUUGACAUUGGGAUAGCCUCUGGAAACCGGGAUUAAUACCAAAUAAAAUCAUAAUGACACAUGUCAUAACGAUCAAAACUGCGGUGGUCUAAUAUGGACUCGCGUCCCAUUGUCUCGUUGGUAGGGUAAAAGCAUACCAAGGCGAGGGUGGGUGGCCGGGAGGGGAGCGUGAACGGCCACAUUUGAAAUGAGACACGGUCCCAAAUCCGACGGGAGGGAGCAGUGGGGAAUACUGCACGAUGGAGGGAACUCCGACGACGCGACGUCGCGUGAACGAAGCAGGCUUUCGAGAAGUAAAGUCCUUUUAUAUGGGAAGAUAAUGACGGUAACAGAAGAAAAAGCACCGGCUAACUACGUG
rnacentral:rRNA from 1 species